GGAGGAGGGGAGGGCACGUGAUAGAGUUGAAAAGAGGUGUUUUUACUACUUUCCGUCGCCGAGUUACGGAGGAACCUUGAGGUGGGACAAAUUGAAGAAGGAGGACUAAGGAAGGUGAGAUUUAAUUAAAUCCCAGACCCACACAUCAAAAAUACCACCCACACUGCCUAGAACCCCUCCACUCCUCCUGUCUCCACCCUCUUCCUGACGCUCAGACCUCUUAGAUCCGACGUGUAUAUUUAGGAGAGGUAGAAGGAGAGGGGAAACUGGGGAGGGGGGGUCAAGAGGUCAUUAGACUAAAACUAAAGAAGACAAAAGCAUUCUUGUUACACACGUCUAGACAUUUUCUUCUCUUCUCCUUCUUAGGGUUCCUUCUCAAACCACUUCUUCUUAUUCCACUGAUACACUCAACGUAACUGUCUUAGGUACAUAAUUCGACCCCGUAAAAACCGUCGACGUCGUUGGACUGUUAAGUAAACAAGAGUAUGUUCUACGAACACUUCAUGUACCCCUUCCGCGCGUACCAACUACUAAUACAAGACCUAACCUCCGGCUUCGUUUGAGGCAGUCCAAAGUCUAUUAAUGAAGUCCAAUCCGCCCUCUUUAUUUUUCCCAUUGGUAUCUAUAUACCACAUCGUAGUACUCCAAGUCCAAGGACGACAACUAGU
rnacentral:rRNA from 1 species